GUUUGAUUUAGUGGAUGGAAACAAUGCAAAAGAAACAUGUCCUGCUCUAAUUAUAGAUAAAGAUAUCACUCAAACAUAUACUUUGGAGGUGACCGAUGGUGAAAGCAGCACUGAAGAAUCAACAGAUAUGAACAAAGAUGAUCUGAAUAAACUACACUCUUCUAUGGUUUUGGAAACAGAAAAUAUGAGCAAACAAGAUGACAAAAAUGAAGUUCAUGAUGAGAAUAAAGAUGAUAAGGUUCUGACGCAGAAUAAUCUGGACAUAGAAAACCUGGAGAGAUCGUCUGACAUGGAAUCUUUGAUGUCUGAUCACACUUAUGUCAUUGUGCUGGAAGAGAAGGAAAGUCGCGUAAAACAGGAGCUCACAGUCGCUAUUACAGCUGAUGAUUCUGUUAAAUUAGAAGAUGCUGAAAAAGAAAGUGAAAUUCAGAAAGAAGAAAUUGAAAUGAUGGAAAAUGACGACGUGACAAACACAAAUGCACCGUUUGACUCUGAGGAUGGAAACAAUACUGUUAUAGAUCAAGAUAUGAUCCAAACAUGUACUUUGGAGGAGACCGAUGGUGAAAGUAGCACUGAAGAAUCAACAGAUAUGAACAAAGAUGAUCUGAAUAAACUACACUCUUCUAUGGUUUUGGAAACAGAAAAUAUGAGCAAACAAGAUGACAAAAAUGAAGUUCAUGAUGAGAAUAAAGAUGAUAAGGUUCUGACGCUGAAUAAUCUGGACAUAGAAAACCUGGAGAGAUCGUCUGACAUGGAAUCUUUGAUGCCUGAUCACACUUAUGUCAUUGUGCUGGAAGAGAAGGAAAGUCGCGUAAAACAGGAGCUCACAGUCGCUAAUACGACUGAUGAUUCUGGAAAUGUUAAAUCAGAAAAUAGUGAGAAAGAAAAUGAAAUUCAGACAGAACAAAGUGAAAUGACUGAAUAUGACGAUGACAGCAUGACAAGCCAAAAUGCAGAGCUUGAUUCUGAGGAUGGAAACAAUGCUAAAGAAACAUGUCCUGAACCAAUCGUAGAUCUACCGUUUACUACCGAUGUUAAAAGCAUCACUGAAGAAUCAAAAGAUUUGAACAAAGAUUCUAUUAAACUACACACGUUUUUUGGUUUGGAAACUGAAAUUUUGAGCAUAUUAGACAACCAGACUGUUCAGGAUGAGUAUAGUAAAGUACAGGUCACAGACGAAUGUAACAUACAAGAGGUUGAGCCAUGUACAAGCAAACGGGAGCACACAGCUGCUAUUGGAAAAGAGAAGCCUGGCAAAAUGGAACAAGAUAUUUUUGAAGAAGAAAGUGACAACAAGGAUUUUAAAACCAAAGUUAUAACACCCAAUAUGGAUGAUGCAGCAAAUGUUGAUCUAGAAACACACAUUUCCAGAUGUGGUUUGGAUUUUAAAGGAUUUUUUAACGUAGCUGAUCCUGCCUCCAGUGAAAUGGGAAGUUCCAUGGGAAAGUUUGAUGUUACAAUCAAAUCUGAAGGAGGGCCUACACAGGAACAGGCUAUUGCAUUUAAAAAUAUCCCCCUGGGUGAGGGCGAAGGGCAGGAGCGUCCAUAUUCAUAUAAGGAAAGCAGAGAGGAAGUUCCUGACUACAACAAUGACUCCAACAAUGGAAGUGCUACACAAAGGUUCCUGGAAGUAACAAAUUGCAGGGAAAACCAGACCACCCUAUUACAAGAAGAGGUGGAGAGUCGAGCAACAAAACACCUUCAAACCAGUGCCACUAGUGAAGGAGAGGGCAGUUUGGAAGAUCCUAUGGAAACACAACUCAUCAAGAACAGUCUGGAGGAGCGUAUUGCGGAGAAGACCCGACUAUCAGAUAUGCUUAUGAAAACUACAAGUGAAUACUCAAACUUUGAAACAAAUUUUAUGGAAGAUGUGGAUGAGAAAGGAGAAGAUCUAAAAGAAGCAGAAAAGGAGAUUGGAUAUGAAAUGAGGAAAGGUUUAUGUGAUAUUGACACUCUUGAUGCUGAUGUAGAAUUGCAAACUGGAUUUCAGAAUUUGAUCUCUUUGGAUCAAAAUGAAUACAAUGUACAGAUGCUGGAAAGACCUUUUGUAGAGACGGAAACUACAAGGACAGAUCUUUUGGAUGCAGAAGAAGGCUUGUUUACAUUUGAGGAAGACGUCACAGUGGUAAAAAAGAUAAGUGAUGGCUCUAGUGAAUCUGUCAAAUCAGGAUCUGCAGAUGAAGAUUGCACAACUGUAUCAAAUGACAAUGUAAUACCUGAUGUUGUCCACUACGAAAUCUCACCAGACGCAUUAUCAGUCGAAGAUGAACACCAAAAAUGUGCCUUAGAGCAGCAGAUAUUUGAUGAUGUGAUUGAGGAUGAAAUUCUUGAUUUGUGGAUACAGCAUACUUCGAUGGAGAGCUCUGAAGUGACUGAAGAGGACCAAGGCUAUGAGGAGAGUCUGUGUAAAAUACCAGAAGAAGAGAAGGUAGAGUCGAUGCCUGAAUUAAGCAUAGAGUGUGACGUUAAUGUAUCUUUAUUAACAACCGAGUCAGGUUUUUCUGACCAGUCUUUGAACAUGGAGACAUCACACGAAUGCAAUAAAGAGGAACAAGAUUCACUAAAAGAAGAGCAAAUAACUAAUGUAAGUUGUGCAUCAAAUAAAUCUGAGGGCAUGAAUGAAAGUUCUUUAGCAGAGCCUGAGUUAGAAACACCAUGGAGAGAAGAUUUGGGCACAACACCAGAAAGCACAGAUGAUGCCGAUGAAGCUAUAACAUCACAAAAUAUUGACAGUAUAAUGUCUCUGUCAACUCCGGUAAUGCAAGACAAUAAUACAUGUUCAGUGCAGAUGGAUGAUAAGGAAUUUACAACAUUAGGAACAGUUUAUGAACCAGAGACAUUGACAACGGACCAAUCAGACUUUUUCACUGAAUUGAAAAAUACAAUCUACACGACUGAUACAUACGAAACCGAAGAACGUCAGUUGCUUGAACAAGACAAGUCAAAAGUGGAAGCACUGUUAGAGUUUGAAAGAAUGGAGGAUAUGGAUAAGGUAGAUGUGAAGGAGUUAGACUUUACUCCACAAAAGUCAAGAAUUGCGGUCAAAAAUCCAAAAGUGAGGCCGCCUAAAGAUUUUCGUUUGCUGCUGCAUAAACCCUCACUUGAGCCUUCACCUUCGAAACCUAUGGCAUCACAUGUUCCCGCUGGUGUUCCUGUGGGUGGCUUGGGCAUCGGGAUUAAACUACCAGGCCUUGGAACUGGUUUCCCUAUUUUAAAAAAGACAAGGAAAACAGCAGAAGAAGAAACCCAAGUAACUACUCAGGAGAAAGAACCAAUCAUGGACGAUGGUGAUAAAGUCAAGCAAGAGGACUCACCACAAAGACCCAAAUGGAAGCCUCCAAAUCACCCAGGUUUUGGAAAUCCAUUGCUGUCAGAACUCAAAAGUAAGCUGAAGAAGACAACGAAAGAGUAAAUGUAUAGGCCUACUUUUUCAAUUUUGUAUGUUGUGCAUAAAUGUUAAAUGUGUUGCUAAGAUAACAGUGAAAUAUGUAUAGCAAAAGAAUAAUUCAAUUAUGUGAACUGGACAAAAGCUUUAGAGCCUAGACGUUUCGCCACUUAUCCAUGCAGCUUCUUCAGUUCUGGUCAGAUUGUUGGUUGACAUUGACUUAUAUCUGAAGGGAGGAGCUAAAUACACUGAAACUAACACACCUGUUGUUUACAGUUUCUGUUUGGUAGCUAGGUUAGCUAGUGUGAACUGUGCCUGAGUCAUAUUUUGCAUAAUCGUUCAGGCCCCUAAUGGGUGCUCUCAUACCUAUCAGUAUACUGGCUAUCACUAUUGUUUUCCUUGUUAAGAUUUAUGUCUGAGGAUGGAGUUGGAAAAAGGAGAUAAAUUAUGUCUAAGCCCCACAAUCCUAUUCAGAAAUGGAUUGUCUUUGCUAAGAAAAACUGCCUCUUUAACACUCCUCUCAAAAGAUUUAUUUUCAUUGGCUAAGAUCUGUACCUCACUACUGUCAAAGGAAUGGUUAUUGUCUUUGAGAUGGAGAUCUAGAGCAGACUGAGGUCCAGAGGUCCCAUGUUGGUACAUUCUCUCAUGGAGUGGCUGCUUAGUUUUUUUCAAUAUAAAGCUCACUGCACUCUUCACUACAAUCAAUGGAGUAGACCACAUUGCUUUGUUUAUGGCUCAGGGUUUUGUCCUUUGGGUGAACCAGUUUCUGUCUUCAAGUGUUUGCAGGUUUGAAAGCUCUCUUAGAUCUAUUAAAGGCACAUCUUGGACAUCAACAAGCAGAGAGGGCUUUCUGCAUGUGCAUGUCUUCACUCUAAAGCUUUUUCCAGUUGACAGAAUUGAAUUUUUCAUAUCACGCCUGCAUGACUCAGGGAUUACUCGGGCA
ensembl:lncRNA